GAAUUAGGCUACAUGGUGGGAAACAAUGAAUAUUCUGAGAAUAUCUUUAUAGCCUGGAUUUUGGUAAAGGGGAGAGUGAGUCUAAAGGUCUUAAGCCUUACCUAUGCAGCUAUGUGAAGACUAAGUGAUUGAUGGAUAACACACAAACAUUCAUCAACAGAGAUUUUCCUUCAGGAUGCAGUAUGUUGCACAGAGAGAGAUCAAACCCAUCAGAGUCCAGCUGUGUGUCCAGGGCCGGCGCUCCAGUGUGUGUCCAUGAAGAGUGACCACUCUAUGGGCAAGCCAAUAAAAUUUAAGGGAAGACAAACAUCGACUGAUCUAAGAGGGAGAUCAAACCCACCAGAGGCCAGCUGUGUGUCCAUGAAGAGCAACCAGUCUAUGGGCAAGCCAAUAAAAUUUAAGGAAAGACAAACAUCAACUGAUCUGAGUUUGAGGGAUAGAUCAAACCCAUCGGAGUCCAGCUGUGUGUCCAUGAAGAGCGACCAGUCUAUGGGCAAGCCAAUAAAAUUUAAGGGAAGAGACACAUCAACUAAUCUGAGGUACAACAUUUCUGUCUUAAUCAGUAAAUAUAUUUGCUUGAGCAUUGCAGCACACUUUCAGAGUUCCCCUGAAACCCUCCACCUUCCCCAGCUCCACCUGUAUAGAUCUGCUACAGGUUAUUUUAUAUGCUAUUUGUGCAACAGCAGUAUGUCUUAAAUACUCACAGCACCAUAUCGGCUUAUGUAUUGGCAGUAGCAAGUUCCUGUACUGUACGGUGCAUUUGGACCAAUUGAAGAUUGUUUAAUAAACCUGCAGGGCAAACACCA
ensembl:lncRNA